rnacentral:tRNA from 1 species
GCCCGGGUGGUGGAAUUGGUAGACACAAGGGACUUAAAAUCCCUCGAUAGUAAUAUCGUGCCGGUUCAAGUCCGGCCCCGGGUACCA